rnacentral:rRNA from 1 species
GUUGGUAUUGAUUGUCAUGAGGGUCCACCUGUUCCCAUACCGAACACAGAAGUUAAGCUCAUGUACGCCGGCGAUACUUGGCGGGUGACUGCCCGGGAAAAUAGGUAAUGCCAACA